CUUUUGCUAAAGAUUACAUAUUGUUAGCCUUGUCGGAGUUGAAUGCUUGUUGUAGGCUUGAUAUUGUGAUCUUGUAGCCGAACAUUUGAUGAUAGUGGAGCUCUUUAUCGGACUCUAAAGUCCCGUGGUUUUUACCCUUAAUUUAGAGGGGUUUUCCACGUAAAAUACCGGUGUCUCUAUUUAUUUUUAUUGUGGUUGCAUUAGUUGAUUUGUGGUUGAUUAAGGUUGCUAGAGAACAUAUCUUGUGCUAUUGUGCUUGCCAUAAUUUUUGACAAGAGUUAUAGGGAGAGAGAACACCAGUUGUGCUUUCGCUUUGUUUCGGUUGUUCGGUUUCUUCCCAACAAACUGGUACCAGAGCUUGGUUAUUGUGUCAGAUAAUUAUGGAAAUUAAUACGAGCAAGAUGAUUAUGUUGAAUGGCACAAAUUAUCAACUUUGGCGGAAUAAAAUGAAGGACUUGUUGUUUGUGAAGGCUUUGCAUCUUCCGGUCUUUACUACUCAAAAACCUGAUUCGAAAAGUGAUGAAGAAUGGGAAUUUGAGCAUCAACAAGUGUGUGGCUUUAUUCGGUAAUUUGUUGAAGAAAAUGUUUACAACCACAUUGAUCAGGAGACACAUGCUCGAACAUUGUGGGAGAAGCUUGAAAGCUUGUAUGCUUCGAGGUCGGGCAAUAACAAGUUAUUUUUGCUGAAGAAAAUGAUGGCGCUGAAAUAUAAAGAAGGAAUGUCUAUAGCUGACCAUGUUAGUGAAUUUCAGAGUAUGAUGAAUCAGUUGCUUGGUAUGGGUGUCAAAUUUGAUGACGAGAUUUUAGGACUUUGGUUGCUUGCUACUCUACCAGACUCUUGGGAGACCUUUCGAGUCUCACUCAUUAAUUCUGCCCCACAGGGUAUUAUUACUUUGGAUUUGGCUAAGAGUGGUGUGUUGAAUGAAGAGGUUAGAAGAAGAUCUCAGGGCUCUACAUCACAGUCCGAGGUGUUGGUUAUCGAGAACAGGGGGAGAAACAGAGACAAAGAUGGAAAGGGUAGAGAUAAAAGCCGAAGCAAGUUAAGAUCGAGAUACAAGAAUCUUGAGUGUCAUCAUUGUGGUAAGAAAGGUCAUAUCAAGAAAUAUUGCUUCAAGUGGAAGAAAGAGAACAAAGGUGGUGGUGAUAAACACGAUCAGAAUGACGAUGAAAAAUCCGAGCGUGUUGCUACUGUUACUCGUGAAGAUUUGUUAGUUAUUUGUGAUGAGAAUUUGGUCAACCUAGCAUGCGACGAGACUAGUUGGGUGAUUGAUACUGGUGCAUCACUUCAUGUCACGUCGAGGAAGGAAUUCUUCACAUCUUAUACUCUUGGUGAUUUUGGGGUAUUGAAGAUGGGUAAUGAUGGUUUGGUUUCGGUUAUUGGUAUGGGAGAUGUUAGCUUGGUAAGUAACAAUGGAACAAAGUUAACUCUCAAGGAUGUCAGACAUGCACCAGAUGUUCGUUUGAAUUUGAUUUCUGCAGGAAAGCUUGAUGAUGAGGGAUUCUGUAACACCUUCAGUGAAGGGCAGUGGAAGCUGACUAAAGGCUCAUUGGUUGUGGCUCGAGGAAAGAAGAGAUCAAAUUUGUACUUGAUGCAAGCUUUGACUUCUCGAGAGACGGUGAAUGUGACACUGAAUGACAACUCAACUGAGUUGUGGCAUAAACGACUCAGUCACAUGAGUGAGAAGGGGCUUAGCUGUUUAGCGAAGAAGAAUCAACUUUCGGGUUUAAAGAAUGCUACACUGAAGAAUUGUGCUCAUUGUCUAACAGGAAAGCAGAGAAGAGUUUCAUUUAGAAGUCAUCCUUCUCAUAGGAAAUCAGAGUUGCUAGAGUUGGUCCAUUCAGAUGUUUGUGGUCCGAUAAAAGUAAGAUCACAUGGUGGUGCACUUUACUUUGUGACUUUCAUUGAUGAUUGUUCAAGAAAGCUAUGGGUUUACACUUUGAAGUCCAAAAAUCAAGUCUUUGAGGUGUUUAAACAGUUUCAAGCAUCAGUUGAAAGGGAAACUGGGAAGAAGUUGAAGUGCAUUCGUACUGAUAAUGGUGGCGAGUACACAGGGUCAUUUCAUGAGUAUUGUCUGCGACAGGGAAUCAGACAUCAGAGAACACCACCAAAGACUCCACAGUUAAAUGGGUUUGUAACACCCCUUAACCCCGAACCGUCGCCGGAACAGAAUUACGAGGCAUUACCGGACGUAUCAAACGAUUUACAACAAUUCUUAAAUAAAUAACCAAUAUAUUAAAAUAAUUCAUAAAAUUUAUUAGUUUGUUUACCAAAUGACUUCAUUUUUUUUUAUAAAAAUUUCGGCAGCAUUUCUGCUUAUUUUUACAUAAAACCCCCUGCAAAUUAAAACCAUAUAGUUCCCAAAUAUCACCAAUUCAACCAAUUCAUUUCACAUUCACAUUUUCUAUUCUAAAUACUUCUAAUCAAACUCAAUCUACACAAUAUCAAUUUAAAAUUUAACAAUGUACUAAUUAGAUAAAAUAGAUAGACUUCUUUCAUUAAAAUCCAUAAACUUUUAAUACUAACAUUUUUAACCAUUAUAUAUUAAAACAUAAUAACCUUUAUACACAAUCUAUGUACAUGCCACCUUUACCAAAGGAAAAAUACAUCACCAAGUUUUGUCGAAGCCGGGAUUAAUCUGGAUGCUGAACCGGGACCUUUGACUUCUAUCGACCUGCGCACGGAAACAACCGUACGCUGAGUAAUUCAUACUCAGUGGUAUUACCAUAAUUCAAAUUAUAACAAUAAUGUACAUGUAAUGCAUAAAUCGUAUAUACAAUUUAAAUUCAAUAUUUCAACAAUAGCAAUUCAUCAACCAAUAUCGUAUAUCCACAAUUUGAGUUUGAAUAAAUCACGAACCUUAGGUUCAUUUCUCAAUCUCAUUUCACAUUUCAAUUCACAAUUCAACUUUUUCAUAUCAUUUCAAUAGCUCGUUUGACCAACUCGUUCGGUUUAUCAUUUCAUCAUUUACCCUAUUAACAAAACUCGGACUUUGGCGGAUACACGGAUCCAACCAAACACACCAGAAUGGCACCCAGUGCCUCAUCGGAUAGUUCGAAGCAAUAGUUGACACCCAGUGUCUCAUCGGCAAAGCCGAAGAAAGUUGGUACCCAGUACCUCAUCGAAUCUAUCCGAAGAAAUAUAGUGACACCCAGUGUCUCAUCGACUCGAGGUCGAAGUAUCCCUGAACUCUUCCAAUCCUAUGGCAUGCCAACUAUAUCCGACUCAGCCCGACUAGUUAAUAGGGUAUUUAAAUCACAUAUAUUCUCAAUUCAAUCACAAUUUCUCACACUUUCAAUUCAAUCAUUUUUCCACAUUCAAUCAAUAAUUAUUUCACAAAUUCACACAUUUUCACAACUCAAUACAUUUCCAUACAAUUUAAUACCAUUCACAAUUCGAUUCAAAUUCAUUUCCCGCUUUCAAUCAACAAACAAUUCAAAUAUUAAUUCAUAUAAACUAUUCAAUUUAAUUCCCACUCAUAAUAAUAAUAAUAAUACUAAUAAUAAAUUAAUACUAAUAUUAUACUUACCUCACAUUUCAUUUACUAGACACAUAAAUUAAAAUUUAGCAUUUAAUAAUAAAUAACUUGAAUUAUAGUAAUACAAACCGUUAUUCUCCCGUUUUAGUCCUCAAUAACUUUCUCCUUUCCUUUUGACGCCGAUGCCUCGGGUUCUUUGUUAGCUACGAAAAUAAUAAUUUGUAAUAUUAAUUACAGCACUAAUUAUAAUAAAUAAUUGAAUUUCUAUUCAAUUUCUUCCUAAUUCUCAAUUUAAUCCUAACUAAAUUCACUUACUUUCCUAAUUCAAUUCACGCUCUAUUUCUAUUCAAAUUUCAUCCAAACUAAAAUUUAACUAUCAAAAUUUCAGCAUAUUUUGCUAAUUUCGAAUUUCCCUCAAUUUAGUCCCUAAAACAUAAAACUUAUAGUUUCUUUUACAAUUUAAUCCCUUUUUUCAAUUCUAACUUAAAAUUCCUUCAAGUUAAUCCCUAAUUCAUCUCUUUUGUUCAACAUAAACUAUACUUGAAAACCUAUGAACUUACAAAAUAUCAACUUAAUUCCAUCAAAACUUUGUUUUAAAGCUUUUAAAACAUUAGAAUUAAGAGAAAAGGGCUAAUUUGACUUACCAAUCAAAGUUUUAAACCUUAAACCUUCAAUUUUUCCUUUUUCUUUCUUUUUUCUUCUUUCUCCCCUGUUUCUUCUCUGUUUCGUCUUUGGCUAUUCUGUUUCUUUCUUCUUUUGUUUCUUUUAUUCUUUUAUUUUAACUUACUUUACUUUAUUUCCUUUAUUUUAUUUCUUUUGUUUUCUUUUAUUUAAUUACUUUAAUAUAAUAAUUAAAACAAAUAUCUAUUUAGUAAUUAAAUAUAAGUAUUACAAAUGUAUGUAUUUUAUUAAUACACUUGUAUUAAAUAUCACCAUACAUUUGUCUUUAUUUAAUUUAUUUCUUAAUAUAAUAUUUAUAAUAUAAUUAAUUUAAUAAUAUCAUUUAUAAUUAAUUUAUAUAUUUAUAUAAAUAAAUAAUAUAAAAAUCUAAGAUUUUUACAAUGUUAUGCCGCCUCAACUUCCAAAUGUGGCUUAAUUGCCCAUUUGGUCCCUCUUAUUUUCUUUUGAUCUAUAAUUAAACAUUUACCCUUUAUUCAAUUUAAUCUUUUUUCCUAAUUAUUCUUAAUUAGAUUAAAUUCAUCUAUCUAAAACUUAAUUAAACACACAACUAGUCUCGUAAAUAUUUCUAAUAAUUAUUUUCGAACUCAAUUUACUAAGACGGAGGCCCGAUAUUAUACUUUUUCGAUGCCCGUGAAUUUUGGGUCAUUACAGGGUUAGCUGAAAGAAUGAACCGAACAUUGAUUGAGAGAGUCAGAUGUUUGUUGUCAGAUGCAAAGUUACCAAGAUCGUUUUGGGCUGAAGCUUUGAAUACAGUGACACAUGUGAUAAAUCUGUCUCCUAGUGUUCCUUUGAAAGGUGAUGUGCCAGAUAGAGUUUGGUUUGGUAAAGACGUGUCAUAUGAUCACCUACGUGUGUUCGGGUUUAAAGCAUUUGUUCAUGUUCUAAAGGAUGAAAGAUCCAAGUUGGAUGCCAAGGCUCGACAAUGCAUUUUUAUUGGUUAUGGUCUAGACGGUGAGUUUGGUUAUAGACUCUAUGAUCCAGUUCAGAAGAAACUCGUGAGAAGCAGAGAUGUUGUCUUCAUUGAGGAUCAGACCAUUGAUGACAUUGAUAAGACAGAGAAAGUGGAUUCACAAGGUAGUAGUGACUUGAUUGAUGUGAAUCUGGUUCCCCUAGACUCUUCACCAGAUCCUAUCCAGGAUGAUGUGCAUGGUGAUGUUAGUGGUGUCCGUCAGACUAUAGGUGACUUUGAUACUUCCAUGGAUGAUGUUGUGAAUGAUCAACAACAAGCACCUAUAGCUCCACCAGCAGUUCCACUUCGAAGGUCUUCCAGAGAUCGACGAUCUUCUGUCAGGUAUUCUCCUGAUGAAUAUGUUCUUUUGACUGACGGGGGAGAACCUGAAUGUUAUGAAGAGGCUAUGGAGAGUGAAUGCAAAGAUCUGUGGGUUGAAGCGAUGAAAGACGAACUUCAAUCCUUACAUGAGAACCAUACUUUUGAAUUGGUGAAACUGCCUAAGGGAAAAAGAGCUUUGAAUAAUCGGUGGGUUUACAGGUUGAAGCAAGAAGAGAAGUCUUCAUCUCCACGAUACAAAUCUAGAUUGGUCGUCAAGGGUUAUACUCAGAAAAAAGGGGUUGAUUUUGAAGAAAUAUUUUCUCCGGUUGUGAAGAUGUCCUCUAUCAGAACUAUACUGAGUUUGGUAGCUUGUUAUGACCUAGAGGUUGAACAAAUGGAUGUGAAAACUGCUUUUCUUCAUGGUGACUUGGAAGAAGAGCUUUACAUGGAGCAGCCAGAGGGUUUUGUUGCACAAGGGAAAGAGGACUAUGUGUGCAGAUUGAAGAAGAGCUUGUAUGGUUUGAAGCAAGCUCCAAGGCAAUGGUACAAGAAGUUUGAGUCUGUUAUGGGGGAGCAAGGCUACAAGAAGACUACUUCUGAUCAUUGUGUGUUUGUUAAGAGAUUCUUUGGUGAUGAUUUUAUUAUUCUUUUACUCUAUGUUGAUGAUAUGCUUAUUGUUGGUCAGAAUGCUUCUAGAAUUGAGAAGUUGAAACAAGAGUUGAGUAAAUCCUUUGCAAUUAAGGAUUUGGGGCCAGCAAAGCAAAUUCUUGGCAUAAGACUGACACGUGAUAAAAAGGCCAAGAAAUUAUGGUUAUCACAAGAGAGGUACAUUGAGAAAGUACUUCAAAGGUUUAGUAUGGACAAAGCUAAAGCGGUGAAUACUCCAUUUGCUAUGCACUUUAGAUUGAGUGUUAAGCAUAGUCCUUCCACAGAAAAGGAGAAGGAAGAGAUGCAGAAAAUUCCUUACUCUUCAGUCGUGGGUAGUUUGAUGUACGCAAUGGUUUGCACGAGACCAGACUUGGCUUAUGCUGUUGGUACAGUUAGUCGGUUUCUUUCUAAUCCAGGCAGAGAGCAUUGGAAUGCAGUGAAGUGGAUUAUGAGAUAUCUUCGUGGCACUUCCAACAUGAAACUUUGUUUCGGCAAUGAAAAACCUGUUCUUGUUGGGUAUACAGAUUCAGACAUGGCCGGAGACAUUGACUCGAGGAGAUCUACUUCAGGUUACUUAAUCACUUAUGCAGGGGGAGCAGUGGCAUGGCAAUCGAGACUGCAAAAGUGUGUUGCAUUGUCCACCACCGAAUCAGAGUUCAUUGCAGCAACCGAAGCGUGUAAGGAGAUGCUUUGGAUGAAGAAGUUUGUGCUUAAGCUUGGUUUUACUCAGGAGAAGUAUGUCCUAUACUGUGAUAGCCAGAGUGCUAUUUAUCUUGGUAAGAACUCAACUUUUCAUGCUAGAUCUAAGCAUAUUGAUGUGAGGUACCAUUGGAUACGAGAUGUUCUUGAAGCUAAGCUGUUAGAGCUUGAGAAGAUACACACUAAUGAUAAUGGUGCUGAUAUGUUGACGAAGGCCUUACCAAGAGAAAAGUUUGAAGCAUGUUGUUUGACCUCCGGUAUGGAGGCAUUCCCCACAUAGUUGGAGGGGAAGAUUUGUUAGGAGUGGGUCCCACUAUGUGGGAAACCCAUAUUUUCUGCCACAAUGUUUUGCCUUCUUUUUGGUUUUGUCAAAAGCCAAUUUUUUGGCCUUUUAACGUGGGAGUGGGCAGCAUUCUUAAUUGAGAGCAAAAUUGUCAAUUACAUCCAGAGAGAAAGAGAGUGAAAUUGAAGCUCGUUGGAGAAAAAGAGAGAAUAGAAAAAUCAGUUUUUCAAGUUUGGUGCAGCAGUGAUCAACUCUUCGAUCGAAGGUCCAUCCGUGGUUCGAUUGAGCUGAUUUUUGGACAGCAGCUAGGCGAUAAGGUGUUCUUGAAUUUGUACAGUCGGAUUUUUCAUCCGAGUCUUUUAGCGUCAGAAAUACCCAUUUUUCAACAGCUGCGUUUUUUGGUGAUGUUCUCUCAUUUUUCUCUCUUUUGCUAAAGAUUACAUAUUGUUAGCCUUGUCGGAGUUGAAUGCUUGUUGUAGGCUUGAUAUUGUGAUCUUGUAGCCGAACAUUUGAUGAUAGUGGAGCUCUUUAUCGGACUCUAAAGUCCCGUGGUUUUUACCCUUAAUUUAGAGGGGUUUUCCACGUAAAAUACCAGUGUCUCUAUUUAUUUUUAUUGUGGUUGCAUUAGUUGAUUUGUGGUUGAUUAAGGUUGCUAGAGAACAUAUCUUGUGCUAUUGUGCUUGCCAUAAUUUUUGACAGGAGUUAUAGGGAGAGAAAGAACACCGGUUGUGCUUUCGCUUUGUUUCGGUUGUUCGGUUUCUUCCCAACA
rnacentral:lncRNA from 1 species